GGCCGGGGUCGGGGCGGGGGUAGGCGGGGUGUGCGGAGGGCGGAUCCCAGGCGUCGGGUCCCCCUUUGUUCCCCGCCGCCCUAGCCUGGCGUCCGAGGUACCCCCUCACCCCCAUCCCCCGCUUCUCCGGGUGGUGGCCUCGCUGUCCCCAAUCUGUGCCCCGGUGCCCUCGGUGUUCUAGGGUCCCGGGCGGGAGAGGCGGGGGGAAACUGCUCCCCGCCGUGGGGACCCCCGGGUCCCAGCGGAGUGAGGGGUGGGAGGGGGAGACGGCCCCUCGUCGGCCCCGCCUGCCACCGCCAUUGUUUACCCGUCGGCUGCCUCCUAGGAAACUUAACCCGCCCGCGGUAAUUUUAUUUGGGAACUUCGGCCAGUUGCCAUAGCAACCCCCAGUGACGUCAGAGGGGCUGGGGCCCGAAAUCCCCGGGAAAGGGGGGAUGGGAUUAUGGGGGAGACCCUCAGGAGGGCCCCUCUUUAACCCUGCGCCUGCCAGGCCCCAGUCCGAGGGGAGAGGACAGCCAGAUGGGACACCUCUUGGGCGCCCCCAUUCUGGCGCGGCGCCAAGUGAGGGUGGCAGGCCAGGCCCUGAUGUCAUCUGGUGCUGGGUGGGUGGUGAGUCAGUACUCCGGUGGGGGCUGGGCCAGGCCUGGGGGCUAUUCCUGUCUGACUCACCCCUCCAGGGCCCCGGAGCAACACCCAGACCCUGCCCUAGGGAUUUCAGGCGCCAGGCUGGGGGGAGGGGGUCCCCACAGGUCUCUGGGGCCUCUGCUUCUCUGAACUCUAGGGCCUGUUUGAUGUCUCUGUGUGCUGCGUUGCCAUGGGGCCCGGCAGGCAGCCCUACGUGUGAGCUGGGGUGACCUACGGGGCGGCUGGGUCUAUCAGGGUCCCUUGACCCAGCGCCCCCAUCCCAGGCCUACAGGAGUCCCUAGACCAGCAUGUUCCUGCCUCAGGACCUUUGCACUGGCCGUUCCCUCCACCUUGGACUUUUCCUCCAGAUGUCUGCAAGGCACUUCCUUCACCUCCUACAAGUCUUUGUUCAAAUGUCACCUCCACCUCAUGCAGCCUGUCCUGACCUGGUCCCCACGGGCUCCGUCCUCAUCUCCUUUCCCCCCUUCUGUCCUCCCUUAGCACCUAGCACCCAACAUGCAGUGUAUCUUUACGCCUAUCUGUUUCUGUGUGUGUUUAUUUCCUUUACAGAUGUCAGCGCCAUGGCGGCAAAGAUUUUUUUCUGGCUUGUUCUCUGCGGUGUCCCCAGUGCCCAGAACAGUGCAGUGCCUGGCACCCAGCAGGCACUCAAUGAAUGUUUGAAGAAUAAACAAAUGGGCGUGUGUGAGUGUGUGUGUGUGUGUGCGCGUGUGUGAUCCCUGUCCCACUUGACCACUUAACCUGGCCUCACCCGGGCCCUGUCCCCCUACCCCUCCCUGUCAUGACAAAGGAUCAGCUGGCCGGUUUGGAGAGCUCCUAUCCCUGUUGGCUGCUGUCCCUGGGUAAAUUGGCCAGCCCAGGACGAGGGCAUGUGGGGCAAACGUCGGGGGAUCCUGAGGGAGGCUGGUGGCACUGGGAGGUCCCUCCAAGCUUGUGCUGAGGGAUGCUUAGUGAGCUGGGAUGAUUUGAGCCAUGGGCAGGUAAUGUUUUAUACAAGGCCAUGGCACAGAUAUCCCUGGAGGACAGCAUGGAGGAGGCAUUUCUCUUAAAUGUGUGCCCAACCGGAUUACUAACGGAAGAAGGAUGGCUCUAGAUGGGAGGCUUUGUCUUGGGGUCUGAAGGAAGCAUUCUGGAGGGGCAGCGUGGAGGGGGUGCCCUGUUGUAAUUUGGUCACUUUCUAUUUAGGCAAUGAGAAGCCUGUGUGUAUGUCUCCACAGGGAGACCCUGGACCCUGAGAACUCCAUUCCUCUGUUUGUAGCUGCUCAGGAGGCCAUGUGGCAAGUGCCCCACCCCUCUCCCGGCCCCACCCUGAGUCGGGGAAUUCUGUGCCACCCCAAAUCUUCCCCCAGGGCCCCACAGGCUGCUCUGCCCCCUCCUGCCCCAACCUGCCAGAUCCUGCAGCUUGGGCCAGCCUGCCCCUUGGGCCCCACAGAGAAGAAAGACCCAGGAACCCCCCAGGCUGGGUCCCAUGGGAUGGUAGCUGGGUGUGGCUUCUACCCGCCUCUCCCCAUUCCCACUAAGAUCCAAGGUGGGAGCUUGCUGAGCUGAACGGAGGAAAUGGAGGAUUUUGGAGGAAUUCUGGGGUGCGAAAUGACCCAGAGGCCUCCAACCAGCCCCUCUGAUCCCCUGCCUGGGCCUGCUGCUGGGUUCCCCACACCCUAGCAUUCCUCUCACUGCCCAGGAGGAGGGUGGUGAAGAAUCUGACCCCCAGCGCCGAUUACACGACUUCAGAAAUGUUGGGAGUGGGUGUCAAAAAACACUCCCCCAAAGCAAUGCCCACACAGGUCGGCGAAGGGUCCUUUGGCUCCAGAAC